AUUGAACGCUAGCGGCAUGCUUAACACAUGCAAGUCGAACGGCAGCACGGGCUUCGGCCUGGUGGCGAGUGGCGGACGGGUGAGUAAUGCAUAGGAAUCUGCCUGGCAAUGGGGGACAACUUGGGGAAACUCAAGCUAAUACCGCAUACGCCCUACGGGGGAAAGCGGGGGAUCUUCGGACCUCGCGUUGUCAGAUGAGCCUAUGUCCGAUUAGCUAGUUGGUGAGGUAAGGGCUCACCAAGGCGACGAUCGGUAGCUGGUCUGAGAGGACGACCAGCCACACUGGGACUGAGACACGGCCCAGACUCCUACGGGAGGCAGCAGUGGGGAAUAUUGGACAAUGGGGGCAACCCUGAUCCAGCAAUGCCGCGUGGGUGAGGAAGGCCUGCGGGUUGUAAAGCCCUUUCAGUAGGGAGGAAAAGCUGAAGGAUAAUACCUUUCAGUGUUGACGUUACCUACAGAAGAAGCACCGGCUAACUCUGUGCCAGCAGCCGCGGUAAUACAGAGGGUGCAAGCGUUAAUCGGAAUUACUGGGCGUAAAGCGCACGUAGGUGGUUUGAUAAGUCGGAUGUGAAAGCCCCGGGCUCAACCUGGGAAUUGCAUUCGAUACUGUCUGACUAGAGUAUGGUAGAGGGGGGUAGAAUUCCAGGUGUAGCGGUGAAAUGCGUAGAUAUCGGGAGGAAUACCAGUGGCGAAGGCGGCCCCCUGGACCAAUACUGACACUGAGGUGCGAAAGCGUGGGUAGCAAACAGGAUUAGAUACCCUGGUAGUCCACGCCGUAAACGAUGUCAACUAGACGUUGGGGAGAUUAAACUUCUUAGUGUCGCAGCUAACGCGAUAAGUGACCGCCUGGGA
rnacentral:rRNA from 1 species